UAAAUUGACACGGCAUUAAAAUUGAGUUUAUGAUACUUAUUAAGAGUCACCAAAGUGCUUAGUAAUGUUGGCUACUUUCAUAUUAACAUAAUAGUUGGUUAAAUGGUGCGUUCGUAUUCAUAUUCUAGAAAUCUAAAUUCUGAUUUUUUAUUAAAUGAGAUUUGGAAUAUAAACGUAAACGAGACACGAAUCAUUCUUAGCUUUGGACCCCGGUUUGUGUCAGGCUGUAGUUUAAUUCUUAUAGAUAUAUAAGAAGAUGAGGUAUGAGUGCCAAUGAAACAACUCUCCACCCAAGACACAAUUUAUAAAAGUACUUCGUAAUAGGUCAAAGUACGGCCUCCAACACAGAGCCUUGGCUCACACCGAACAGCAAGCUAUAAGAGGCCUCAAAAAUGACUAGUGUAAAACCAUUCAAACGGGAAAUCCAACGGUCUUAUCUAUAGAAAAAAGGAGAAAGAGAAACAUUUAUGAAUCACGUCAACAAACGACAACUACUGAACAUCAGAUUCUAAUUCUUGUUCAUGACUUUGCUGUACUCGUUAUCAAAACUUAUUAACACGUUAUAACAACUUAGUAAUUCGUUACAGUGAAUAAACAUAUUCGUUAUAACUGGUUACAAUGUGUUAUUGAGUCGUGAUAACAAAUAAGCCAAGUCAUGAUGACGACUUAACUGAUUCGUCAGUGAUAGUUAGUUAGAAAGUUUAGUUGUUAUAUCGAGUUAUUAAGUCGUAUUAAACUUAACCCUUCCAUGAUAAUGAUUGAUAAUUACUACUAAUCAAAGAUAAAAUGUUGAAAAGAAAACAGUUUAACAUUUUCUCACAUACAAUCAUUCUCAAUAAUUUAAUUCAUUGGUGGAGGAUGCCGGAGUGCCCGGAGAAAACCACACACCUUCAAUAAGAAUACAGACAAUUCUAGUCAAUUAAGAUUGGAGUAGAGUGCAUCUGCACAGGCGGAAUCGAACAUGUCGAACUCACAACCUCAGUGUUGACAGGCUAGUGAUUACAGUAGUAAAACUACUUAGACCACUUGGCCGUCGAGGUCCCUAGCAACAAAUGACGACCACCGAUUUACAGGCUCCUGACUUGAGACAGGCACAUACAUACAGAAUGUGGCGAGGUUAUCCAUGUUAGUGGGAUCCCAACCCUCCCCUAAUCUGGGACAGUGGUGCAACAGUAAUACAUAAGAACGAACUAUAAAAAUUGGCUGAAAAAGGCUUAAUUGGUUAUCAAAGGUACCAGGAUUAUAAUCUAACUCAUCAGAUGGAUACAUUUCAAUAGGGUUAUUUUUUUUACUAACGUAUUUUAUUGUCAAACAUUGUUUGCAAGAGAAAAAUUCGACGAACACGUUACUGCGAUCAACCAAACCUAUAUAGAGGUACGUCUUAUUUGUAUAAAGGAAUUUAGUGAAGAAAUACUUUAAAUUCGGACGGACAUGAGAGGGGGAAUUUAAAUCCAUUGAAUACAAGAUACACGUAUGGAUAAAUUACUUGACGACGUCUGUUUUAUUAUACAUAUGAAACGAGAGUAGAAAUUACUUUUAAAGAAGAAGACAUUUUUAUAACUUGAAAGCUUUUACAAAACUGGAUAAGGCAUAAGAUAUUAAGACAUUUGCAGCUGCUUUUUUCAAAAGAUUUAUCAAAAGCUUUUGAUUUUGUGCACGAUAACUAUUUCUUUACCCAAGUAGAAGCUUACAUUUUUCCAGGUUGCAUAAUGUUCAUCUGAACAAUAACACAACUAUAUUGCAGAAAUGACAGCACAAACGUGUACAUAUAAGUUAACAACAACAACUUGGAUGACACCAAAUGGGUUGCCAAAAGAAGAAGUAGUCCCUUUAGUUCCGGUAACACCUUGGGACGGAAAAGUUUAUAGACUUCUAAGGCAUAAUGAACAUGCUGAAAAUGUUACAGCUGCUUUUCAUGUUGCCUGGGGUAGUAGUAAAUAUAAAAAGGAUUCAAAAUAUAUAUCAACCUGUUUGACAUAUGAUAACGCUUUGUCAAUGUCAAAGAAAAAUCGCUACUUAAAUGGAGACAUUGUUAGCAUUUAUGUUGAUCACGCUCCGGUGACUGUUAUACAUGUACGGGAUGAGUAUGUGAGACAACAGCUAAUACUCCAGGAAAAUAUUGCUUCUACGGACACUGACACUAUCAGUAGAUUCUACUCAUUUGCAAAUGCCAACAAUGAAAUCCUCGUAGUUUGUCCUGUUCCAAACAAUUGUGUAACAAUUAUAACAAGGAAACAAGAUCUUCCUAAUCUAUUUGGAAUAAUUGCGUAUUACUAAUUCAUAUUAUUUGGUGGAGUAUUGGUUUUUAUCCAUUAGAUAUCACUAUAACUCUAGUUACAUGUAUGCACGUGCUGCCAACCUAUUCCAUGUAAGAAUAUUUCGCGGGAAGGACUAUCGUGUGCACUUAAUAACAACUGCAGGGUCGUUUUUAACAAAUCGACAGAUACCUUUUUUUUUUUUAAUUUUCCUGAAUGUUAUCAUUUUUGUGGCGGGAAAUAGAUAGUGCAAAACUGGCAGACUAUCAUAUAUAGGUUGCAAUUCUGUAAAUAUAGUCAAUGCAAUUUCUCGUAGGAACUCCCUUUGCAGCUAAAACUGUGCCAAUUUUACUAUGAAGUUUCGUGAAAACUAUAUGCACUACUAUUUUAUUCAAAGGUCAAAAUAUAGGGCUUUGCGGCAAAUUUUCAACAUUUAUAUGCCCUGAACUUACAAGCGUUGAACAAAAACUCAUUAAAAUUAUACUAAAAUUAUAUACUACCCCUACCUAUACUUUUGGACCUCCUAAGAAUUAAAUUUUAGGCGCUAACGUGUUUUUCUAUACUAGUUACAUUCCCAAAUGUCUUUUUUUGAUCAUAUCUGGGAACCAGUACGUUAGCAAAUUAACAUAUCUAUGAAUAUUAUAUAUCUCCCCAAAACAGGCGUGGCUUGUGCAACCUCUAAGAUAUCUAGUAUUCUAUUUGAAAUACCAUUUUUAAUUUGAAAUUAUUAGAUAUAAAAUAUACUUAUAAACAUAUCUUAUCAACUUUUAAAAGAUAUCUUUUGAUUCAAAUAAGAUAUCUGUUAUAUAGUUUUGAAGAUAUCUUAUAUAUCUUUAAUGUCUGUUAAUUAUUAAUCCAGUACUUUAUGAGAUAUAUUGUCUAGUUUAUCAGAGAAAUGUAAUAGUAUAUAAUAUAUCUUAUUUAAAUUAUCAGAUAUCUUAUAAGCCAUACAAGAUAUAUUUUAUGAUUUAUUUGUCAGAUAUAUAACUUAAUAUACAAAUAAUAGCAACAGUAGUAUACCGCUGUUCGAAACUCAUAAAUCGAUAGAGAUAAAAACAAAUCCGGGUUACAAACUAAAACUGAGGGAAACGCAUCAAAUAUAAGAGGAGAACAACGACACAACAAAAACACAACAUUAAAAUGUAACACACACAGAAACAAACUAUAAUAUAACAAUGGCCAUUUUCCUGACUUGGUACAGGACAUUUUAAGAAAAAAAUGGUGGGUUGAACUAAAUAUCUUAUUUAGUAAUAAAGAUACAACUAUUAGUUUUAA